GAAGAAGCAGAAGAAGAAGAAGAAGAAGAAGAGAACAUCCUGCUGUCGCACUCAUGACGUCAAAAUGUUGCACCCGAGGAAGACAGACUGCCAGCUGCCUCCUGCAAGUCCCUCAACUUAAUGGAAGAGCAACACAAAAUCAGUGUGAACAGCAGCAUAACUGCUGCAGGUCUUUCAGCUCAGCGUUUUGAAUUAACAGUGAGCGGCUCAACCGUUUGCUCUCAUCGAUCUUUGUUUCGAGCCACCGAAGACAGCUGUUUUCCAAAAAUAAAUGCCCAGAUGGACCUUUAGUUACCUACGAACUGGUGAACGCAGUGGAGCAACUGGCAGCUAAAGAGAUGAACUCUCCCCAGGAGCUGGUUGACAGCUCAAAAGAAUAAUGUUCUAUAUCAGAUUAAUGUGUGACUAAAAGUUGAUUUGCAAAAAAAUAAAAAAAUAAAGUCAUCAAA